rnacentral:rRNA from 1 species
UGGGUAACCUGCCUCAAAGAGGGGAAUAGCCUUCCGAAAGGAAGAUUAAUACCGCAUAAUAUGUUUUGGUCGCAUGGCCGAGACAUCAAAGGAGUCUUCUUCGUAAGAAGAAGCAUCCGCUUUGAGAUGGACCCGCGGCGCAUUAGCUAGUUGGUGAGGUAACGGCUCACCAAGGCGACGAUGCGUAGCCGACCUGAGAGGGUNAUCGGCCACAUUGGAA